rnacentral:lncRNA from 1 species
UGUGAGAAGGUUGACUAAGCUAGAGAGAAGUGGCCUCCCCCCCCCCCCCCCCCCCGCAACGGUAUCCACCUGCCUUCAACAAAGUAUUCAGUGGUGGGAGUGGAGGUUAUACACUGGCUCAGCAGCAGCCUUCCAAUCCCAGUGCUCAUGUAGCUAUGGCUACUGUUGAGUGUCCAGUCAACCACGAGCAGGGGCCAGCACUAAACUGUGCUAUAGCACCAGCUUCCAUCAUAGAAGGGCAGCUUUGACUCUUACUGGAAUGCACACUGGAUUUUCUUCACCCUCCUUGCAUGACUGAUGCUCCUGCUAAAACUACCACCUGAACGCUUGCAGAGUGCCCUGUCCCCUGUCAAGAUAUUCCACUCAACAUUGCUUCUGACCAAAACACCCACUUCACAGCCAAAGACAUCGUCCAGUGAGCCCAUCCUCACAGAAUUCUCAUGUCUCACCAUGUUCCUCGCUGUCCCAAGGGCUGUCUUAAUAGAACUGCACACCGCCCCUUUGAUGACUCCAUUACAGGGCCACCUAGUCCCUACAGGGCUAAAACAAGGUUCUCCAGAAAAGCUGCAUUUGCUCUGGAUCAACAUGGGGACACUAUGGUUUCUGCUAUCGAGACUCCUCCCAUGCAGGAGUGGAAGGAUGAAGUGGCAGUGGCACCACUGUGACCUCCCGGAAAACUGCCUUCUGUCCAGCCAUGGCAGUACAUGCCUGUUAAUCACAGCACAUGGAGGGGGAGGGUCAGGACUCGGUCAGCUACGUGGAUAUGUCAGCCAGUGCUACAAGAUCCUGUAUCACGGAAGAACAAGGAGCCGGAGAGGCGGCC